CAUGAGGUUUUGGCUAUGGGCCCGAGCACUUUGGUCCAGAAUGUCCCCACCUGGCAGGGUAUGGCGGUACAGUUGGAACCGGCAUUGUCUGUUUCUCACCCUGUGGGGGCGGAGGGGUUGCGCUGGAAGCUGGCGAAUGACAUUAAGAGUUUCAGUGCUUCGAAGGUGAGAGCCUUGCGGAGUGCUGUCAAAGCUGCUAAGGAAUGGAUAGACUCUCACAAUAUAGUGUGUGCAUGGGAUGAUAAAACUAGUGCUAGAAAGUGGUAAUAUUAGAAUAUACCCCGUUUAGAGCAGCUAGAUCGGAAG
rnacentral:lncRNA from 1 species